GCCCGCUCAGAAACUCAAAUGAAUUGACGGGGCCCGCACAAGCGGUGGAGUAUGUGGUUUAAUUCGAUGCAACGCGAAGAACCUUACCUGGUCUUGACAUCCCGGAGACCCUUAGGAAACUAGGGGGUGCUUCCAUCUGGAAGAAUCUGGAGACAGGUGCUGCAUGGCUGUCGUCAGCUCGUGUCGUGAGAUGUUGGGUUAAGUCCCGCAACGAGCGCAACCCUUGCCUUUAGUUGCCAGCAGUUCGGCUGGGCACUCUAAAGGGACUGCCGGUGUUAAACCGGAGGAAGGUGGGGAUGACGUCAAGUCCUCAUGGCCUUUAUGACCAGGGCUACACACAUACUACAAUGGCCGAUACAAAGGGCAGCGACACUGCGAGGUGAAGCCAAUCCCGUAAAAUCGGUCUCAGUCCGGAUUGGAGUCUGCAACUCGACUCCAUGAAGUUGGAAUCGCUAGUAAUCGUGGAUCAGCAUGCCACGGUGAAUACGUUCCCGGGCCUU
rnacentral:rRNA from 1 species